AAACUUUCAACAACGGAUCUCUUGGCUCUGGCAUCGAUGAAGAACGCGGCGAAAUGCGAUAAGUAAUGUGAAUUGCAGAAUUCAGUGAAUCAUCGAAUCUUUGAACGCACAUUGCGCCCGCCAGCAUUCUGGCGGGCAUGCCUGUCCGAGCGUCAUUU
rnacentral:rRNA from 1 species